CUCCUGGGGCAGAAUGGAACAGCCUGGGCCCAGGGCUCCGGAUCCCUCUCUCUGCCACCACAACCUCCAGCCAAGGUUUUUAAACACUCGAGGAAGUGCCUGGCUAAGAGGGGACAGGAAAAAAGGAAGAACUGGUGAUUUUCCAAGGAAAACAGGGCCAAAGGCAAAGAAGAAAGAGAAGUCCUGGAAGCUCUGAAGAGAACAGGUCCUGCAUGAGUCCCGAUCCCCAUAUAGGAUCUUGGAAACAGCAAGGAAA
rnacentral:sRNA from 1 species